rnacentral:rRNA from 1 species
GCGCAGCAGGCGCGAAACCUCCGCAAUGCUCGAAAGAGCGACGGGGGGACUCCAAGUGCCUACGCUCAGCGUAGGCUGUUCCCGAGCCUAAAAAGCUCGGGGAGUAAGGGCUGGGUAAGACGGGUGCCAGCCGCCGCGGUAAUACCCGCAGCCCGAGUGGUGGCCGCUAUUAUUGGGCCUAAAGCGUCCGUAGCCGGCUCGGUAAAUGCCUGGGUAAAUCGUCUGGCCCAACCAGACGAAUUCCGGGUAGACUGCCGGGCUAGGGACCGGAGGAGGGAGAGGGUACUCCAGGGGUAGGGUGAAAUCAGCAAGGUGAGUUGCUGAUGUAACUUGCCUUGCAAGUCACAAUCCUGUAAUCCCUGGAGGACCACCGGUGGCGAAAGGCGCUCUCCUAGGACGGGUCCGACGGUGAGGGACGAAAGCCAGGGGAGCAAAACCGG